rnacentral:tRNA from 1 species
GGGCGCGUAGCUCAGCCAGGAUAGAGCAUCUGCCUUCUAAGCAGAGGGUCGCAGGUUCGAGUCCUGCCGCGCCUACCA